rnacentral:rRNA from 1 species
AGCGAACGCUGGCGGCAGGCCUAACGCAUGCGAGUCGAACGAACUCUUCGGAGUUAGUGGCGGACGGGUGAGUAACACGUGGGAACGUGCCUUUUGGUUCGGAAUAACUCAGGGAAACUUGUGCUAAUACCGAAUGUGCCCUUCGGGGGAAAGAUUUAUCGCCAUUAGAGCGGCCCGCGUCUGAUUAGCUAGUUGGUGAGGUAACGGCUCACCAAGGCGACGAUCAGUAGCUGGUCUGAGAGGAUGACCAGCCACACUGGGACUGAGACACGGCCCAGACUCCUACGGGAGGCAGCAGUGGGGAAUCUUGCGCAAUGGGCGAAAGCCUGACGCAGCCAUGCCGCGUGAAUGAUGAAGGUCUUAGGAUUGUAAAAUUCUUUCACCGGGGACGAUAAUGACGGUACCCGGAGAAGAAGCCCCGGCUAACUUCGUG